GUUGGUGGCAAAGGGAUAUAAUCAGAUUAAGGGUAUUGAUUGCAAGGAUAGGUUUUCUCCAGUAGUAAAAAUGGUUACAGUAAGAUUUUUUAUUGCUUUAGCUACUGCUAAGCAAUGGUCCAUAUUUCAACUUGAUAUAAAUAAUGCUUUUUUUCAUGGAUUCUUAAAUGAAGAAGUCUAUAUACUGCCACCUCAAGGGUAUGAUAAGGCUUUACCUGGUCAAGUUUGCUUGCUUAAGAGGUCUCUCUAGGGUCUCAAACAAGCCUCUCGAUAAUGGAAUAUUGAGUUUACUCAUUUCCUUACUUCAUUGGGUUUCAUUCAAUCAUAGCAUGAUCAUUGCUUGUUUAUUCAUGCUACCACUACUGUGUUUCUAGCCUUGCUUGUAUAUGUGGAUGAUGUUAUCAUCACUGGAACUUCUAUUGAUGCCAUUAAUGCUGUUAAACAUUCUCUUCAUGAGAAAUUCACAAUUAAGGAUUUAGGUUCACUAAAGUAUUUUUUAGGGCUUAAGGUAGCUAGAUCUGAUACUAGUACUGUUGUUGGCCAAAGAAAGUUCAUCUUAGAUCUCAUUGCAGAAACUGGCAUGUCUAUAGCAAAAUCUGUCAAUAAUCCUUUCCCUACAGGUUUUCGUUUCUCCGUUGAUUCUGGUGAUCUUUUACUAGAUCCUAAUCAGUGUCGCAGGCUCAUUGGGCAUUUAUUGUAUAUUAAUCUCACAAGGCCUGACAUAAGAUAUGUAGUCCAACAUCUCAACCAAUUCAUGACUGCACCUCGAACGCCACAUUGGGCAGCAGCUCUUCAUGUUAUUAAGUAUCUUGAAUCCUGUCCUUUUAAGGGCUUUUUUUUUUCCUGUCAAUAACUCAGAGUUAUUAACUCUUUGUAGCUCACUGCUUUUUGUGAUACAGGUUGGGCCUUUUGUGCCUUCAAUAGAAAGUCUCUCACUAGUUAUUGCAUCCUACUUGGAGGUGCUCUUGUAUCUUGGAAAACAAAGAAGCAAGCCACAAUGCCUAAAUCAUCUGCUGAGGUAGAAUAUAAAGCAAUGGCAAUAGCUUUUGUGGAUUUCCUACAUUUUGUCUGACUUUCAUGUGUCACUUAAGCUUCCCAUAUUCUUAUACUGUGAUAAUAAGGCUGCCUUACAUAUUGCUAGCAAUCCUAUUUUCCAUGAGCGUACCAAGCAUCUGGAUAUUGAUUAUCACAUAGUUCGUGAACAAUUAAAAAGAGGCUUCAUUCAUCCAGCACAUGUUUCUUCUUCUGAGCAAUUGGCUGAUGUCUUCACCAAGUCUUUGUCUUCUCCAGCUCAUUCUUACUUAAUUUUCAAGUUGUCUCUUGUGGACAUUCUGCCACCAGAUCCAACUUGAGGGGGCGUUGUAAAGAGACUUAGUUACUUAGUGUAGUUACUCUUUAGUUAGACAGCUCACUUAUUUUCCAGCUGGCAUUCUUGUAUAAAUAGACUCUUCUCUUGUUAGUUUCUUAAUGAAUAAGAGUGCUUCAGUUCAUUUUACUUGUUUUUCUUU
rnacentral:misc_RNA from 1 species